rnacentral:lncRNA from 1 species
AACAACAGAUUGGGCGUACCAGCCACGAUCUUUAUCGUCCUCGGGGCUAACUAAAAUUCUCUUACUCCUUAGCACCAGAGUGAAAAUUCCAUGAUGGAAUAAUUUAGGAGAAUAAAGGUGGAUUAAAUGGUAGACGAUGAAAGGAAACUGAGCCAAAUUAGCCAAAUACUUUAAGCAUGCAACUACAAUAGGGCCAAUUUUUCCUAAACACACAAUAAAGAAGAGGCGAAAUUCAAUAAUGACUGAAUCUAUAGGAGGUCUAAAGUCUAAUGUAAAGGGGUACGUGUACACAAAAGAAAAGUCAGCCUUGAAAGAAGUAAUUCUUUGAUUAGCAUUAGAGACCAGAAUUGGGAAAUCAAACUUCCAAUGACAAUCUCUAUGAACAACAGAAAUCAAACCUUCAGUAUUCUUUGAAGGAUAAACAUCGGCACGAUCAUGAGAGGAUAGAGAGGAGACCUAAUUUGUAAUCAACUCCCUAUCAUCAUAAAAAGAAAGCUCAGCAGGGAUAAUCUCGUCUACUGUAGGCUCACCCAUCAGUUUGUUGGAAUCCUUAUUUGUAGCAGAAGACCUAUGUGAAACAGAAGCCCUAGUUUUAAAAGACGGUGGAGUAAAACUAGGUUGAGAAGAAGAACAUUGAACAGAGACUGACCCUAAACUACAUAGUCUACCACCUCUCUUGCUUCUGGUAGGAGCGGGGGGAAGUUCAUCUACAAUAAGGACCUUUUGAGGAUUAGGGUUUGAAGAAGACAUAGCUAUACAAAGGCGAAGACAAGGUUGAAUGGCAAAG